CGGCGUGGAGGAGGCAGUUAGGGCUUCGGUGGUUACGGAGUUGGAGGCAUUGGGGAUCAGUGAGAAGAAUUCCUGGUACGUUGCUUCACGGAUCGGAUGGGGCGACGUUUUCUGGAGACGAUCGAUUGAGGUUUCGGUUGAUGGUGAUGGGAUCAAUUGAGUUGUUGGGCAGAGGAUUGAAGGGUUGAUUGAUGUCCUGGAUUGCUUGAUUUGAGAUCAGUGAUCUGCUUGUUGAUCUCUUCUCUUGAUCCGAUCAGUGAGGUGAGUUCUAUUGCUGUGAGGCUGGGAUUGUGAUCUUUGAGGUGUAUCCAGCAGCUUUCCCUAACCGGCAGCAACCCCUUUGGUUGUGAUCUA